CCCCUGCCCUCGCGCAACAUGGCGGCAGCACAGCCUCUUCCGCCCUUCCGAGCUAGGAGUGCAGAAAAAGGUGAAACUGCCAUGAAAAGGAGAGGAGGAGUGUGUGAGUGAGUGAGUGAGAGUGAGACAGGGAGCAUCCUAGUAGAGAUGGAAGGGGAACCCAAGGGUCAUCUAGUCCAACCCUCUGCAAAGAAGCUCAGAGCUACAAUUCCCAGGUCUUCUUUGGGAAUUCUAUGGGAAGUAAGAGUUUCCAUAUUCAUGAGCAUUCACUUAGAGUGCGCUCAUGUUUUUACCUUUUAUUGAAAGCGGUCACAAGUGACUUGGGUGGAGUAUAAAUAAUAAAAUUAUAUUGCUCCUGCUGCUGUUCUCUUAGCCUAACUCAAAUCCAACCCAAUACCAAACCUUAAUCCUAAUGCUCACCCUAACUCAAACCUAAUCCUCACUCUAACCCUAACCUUAACCCAAACCUAAGCCUCAGUCUAAACCUAAACCUAAUUUAACCCUAACCUUAAGUAAUAAAAUUAUAUUUCUUCUGCUGCUGUUCUUCUCUUACCGUAACUCAACCCCAACUCUAACUCCUAAUCCUAAUCCAACUCAAACCCAGCUCUCACUGUAACCCUAACCUUUACCCAAACCUAAUCCUAAACGCUUUGCUUCUUUUUGUGGUGUUUUGUGUUAUUGCUUCAUUUCGUAGGUUAUGAGGCUUUCUUUGUUUCUUGUGGUGUUGCUUCAUUUAGCAGUUUUUAAUUGGCUUUUGUGUUUCUUUUGGUAUUGCAUCAUCUUCAUAGGUUGUUUGGAUUUCUGAUUAAUUUGCUUUGGAUUUCUGGUAGCUCUGCUUCUUUAUGAUUUGUUUCUGUGUUUCUGGUGUUUUGGCUUGGUUAUGUCAUAAAAUUGAAGAAAUACCACCAGAAGCACAAAAACCAAGAAAUAUUCCUAAAAUGAGGCAAAACCAGGAGACAUGAAAACCAAGCCAAAUCAAUGGAAAAGAAACAAUCUCACCCAAAACCGCAGAACCAUUCAAAGUAAAAGAAUCAAAACAAUUAAAUGCAAAAAAACAAGCAAAACCACCCCAAAUUAAACAAAUCAGCAGAAAACAAAAAAGAAGCAGUAAAGCCACCAAUUACAAAGCAAUGCCACAAGAAACUGGAAACCAGUUUUUAAAAAGCAAAACCAGAAACUCAACAGGCAUGCAAUUUAUGGGAGUCCAAAAGCACUUCAAGCAACAGAAAUUAACCAACAUAGCAUACUAGUUUUCACAUAGUCUUGGGUUUCUGGUGAAUGUGCUUCGUUUGCAGCUGGCUUCAUUUCUUUUCCAUUGGUUUAGCUUGUUUUUUGGACUUUUGCCUUAUUGCUUCUUUUGAGAAGUUUUCUUGUUUUUGCAUUCUGGUGGUAAUACUUUUGAAUGCUUUGGGGGUUUCUGGUGAAUCUGCUUUGUUUGGGAUUGGUUGGCUUCUUUGUCAGUUUCCAUUGAUGUUGCUUUUACAUGGUUCUUCUGCUUCUUUUCAGUAGGUUUAUGUGUUUUUAGUGGUUGACUUCAUUGUUGGAAUGGUCAUUAGACAUUUCUGGUGGUUUUCCUUCAUUUCUGGUGGUUUUCCUUUUUUUCUUGGGAUUAUCAGAUCUCAUACAAAUUAAUAUUCUCAAAGGUGCAAAACCCAAAAAACCUAGAAAUGAAGCAAACUCACCAUAAAUCCAGCACCCAAUCUGUUAUGUACUAACCUUGGACCCUAGAAUGCAACAACUGAUUGGUCUUUUCCUGCAGGCCAAUCAGGCUCCAAGAGGGAAGCAGAGUUAGCCAGUCAGACGGGACUCAUUGUGUAAAUAAUGUAUAUAAAAGCCUGAGGUUGGGGGGGGGGCAAUAAAGAGCAUGAAAUACAUACAAGACUCUGAGUAUAUUUCACAAUCAUAAUUUAUAUAAAAGAAUCUAUGAAAUGAAAACCACAGAAAAAAUUCAACAUAAUCCCCAAAACAAACCAGAAACAACAGAAACAAACCACAUCCACCAAAGAUGAGAAAACCAAUUGAAUAGAACCACAAGAAACCCACGCAGUAAACAUCUCAGGGAAAGGCGAAAUCACCCCCACACCAUGCAAAACUAAGGUUUAACUGGCUUUGGGGUUUCUGCGCAAUUUACCUUUUCACUCUUGUUGGGGGUUUCUGGUGGUAUUUCUUCUGCUUCUCACAUUUCUGCUUCUUUUCAAUUGGUUUUGGGAUUCUGGUGAAUUUGGAUAUGAUUUGAUUGAAGUCUCUGUCUGGCAAUUUUCCUUUUCAUGAAUUCCUUCCUUGUUGGGUUUCUGGUAUCUCACUUUUGGUUUUCACAUUUCUCUUAGUUUUGCUACGUUUCAGGUAGUUUGCUGAUUGUUUGGAAUUAUCCAGUCUCAUAAAAAUGAAGCAAUAUCAUUAGAAGCUUAAAAAGCAUGAAAAAAACCCCAGGCACUAACCCUAACCCUGAACAUCCACCUAUCCCCUGCCCUAACCCUGAUAUUCUGGUCAUCCAUCUUGGGGAUAACAAUCUGGUGAGGUAAAUUCAGUUGAGAUCACUAAAUAUCUCCAUCAGCUGUGCUUCCUCAUCCCUGAGCUUAUCAUAGUUUGGUUUGGAAUGUUGUAGAGGUGCUUAUGGAGUGGGGGCAGCCUUCCUAAGAAGGUGGAUGGGCAAGACAUAAAGCUAAUCAUUCUACGACGACGUUUGUGUUUGAAAAUGUGGCUGCUUAUAUCCCUCAUGGCAGAAUUAUGUUCUGUGCCCCACAGUUGUAUAGACCUGGUGGUAUGCAUCUUUCUGAUUUGGGUUGUGACAUGAUUCUUAAGGAUCUGCAAAGAGCUCUGUUUGAGCACUUGUGUGUUUGUGGGUGGAGGUGAACAAGCACACCUGCCCAGACUUAAUUUGAUUUGGUUACAUUGGUCGAAUCUGACUAGUUUUGCCGAUCCUCAAGUUGUUAUAUUUAAUAAAUACAACCUAUUUAUCCACUUUUGGUUGUCUUGACUCUUCCUCCUGAUGUGCUAGGAACCACUCCGUUUGGGGGGCACUGCAAAACAUGUGCACCAGAAUCACCCCAACCCAAGCAAAAAGGUGUUUUGGCUUCCAUCUACAUAAAAAGAAGAUAAUAACGCUCUGAUUGGGCUUAUUUCAAAUUGGUGUUUUUGGGUUUAGAAUGCACAUUCACCCAAAAAUCGAAAAGUGAAAUGUGCGUUAUAAGCCCAAUUCAAGCAUAGGUGUUUUGGUUCCAUCUCAAUAGAAGGAGGACGAAUAAGCUUGGAUUCCACUUUCGGUGUUCAUUCACCCACAAAUAACAGAGCGAAGUGUAAUAAGCCUAAACAAAGCAAAACAGCUUGUUUUGAGUUCCAUCUACAUAGAAAGAGGCAUCUUGGGUUUCGCUAAUUUAAAAGUCGUGUUCUUUGGUUUUAAUGCACAUUGACCCAGAAAUCACAAAGUGUAUGUAAUGAGACCAAAAUAACGAAACACCAUAUUUCCGCUUCCAUAUGCGUAGAAGGAAGACGAAUAAGCUUUGAUUGGGCUUAUUUCAAUUACCAGGGUGUUUUUUGGUGUGCACCAGAAUCACCCUCAACCAAAGCAAAAAGGUGUCUUGGGUUCCAUCUACAUAAAAAGAAGAUGAUAACGCUCUGAUUGGGCUUAUUUCAAAUUGGUGUUUUGGGGUUUUGAAUGCACAUUCACCCAAAAAUCGUAGAGUGAAAUGUGCGUUAUAUGCCCAAAUCAAGCAUAAGUGUUUUGGUUCCAUCUCAAUAGAAAGAGGACAACUAAGCUUGGAUUGCACUUUCAGUGUUCAUUCAACCACAAAUGACAAUGCGAAGUGUAAUAAGCCUAAACAAAGCAAAACAGGUUGUUUUGAGUUCCAUCUACAUAGAAAGAGGCAUCUUGGAUUUCACUUAUUUCAAAGUCGUGUUCUUUGGUUUUAAUGCACAUUGACCCAGAAAUCGCAAAUUGUAUGUAAUGAGACCAAAAUAACAAAACACCAUCUUUCCGCUUCCAUAGCAUAGAAAGAAGAAGAAUAAGCUUCGAUUGGGCUCAUUUCAAUUCGCAUGGUGUUUUUUAUGUGUGCACCAGAAUCACCCCAACCAAAGCAAAAAGGUGUUUUGGCUUCGAGCUACAUAAAAAGAAGAUAAUAACACUCUGAUUGGGCUUAUUUCAAAUUGGUGUUUUUGGGGUUAGAAUGCACAUGCACCCAAAAAUCGCAGAGGGAAAUUUUUUAUCAGCACAAAUCAAACAUAGGUGUUUUGAUUCGAUCUCUAUAGAAAGAGGAGGAAUAAGCUUGGAUUGCUCUUUAAGUGUUCAUUCACCCACAGAUAUAAAAUGAAGUGUAAUAAGUCUAAACAAAGCAAAACAGGUUAUUUUGGAUACCAUCUACAUAGAAAGAAGAAUCUUGCAUUUCGCUUAUUUCAAAGUCGUGUUCUUUGGUGUUAAUGCACAUUUACCCAGAAAUCGCAAAGUAUGUAAUGAGACCAAAAUAACAAAACACCAUAUUUCCACUUCCAUAUGCAUAGAAAUAAGACGAAUAAGCUUAUUUCAAUUCGCAUGGUGUUUUUUGGGUGUGCACCAGAAUCACCCCAACCAAAGCAAAAAGGUGUUUUGGCUUCCAGCUACAUAAAAAGAAGAUAAUAACACUCUGAUUGGGCUUAUUUCAAAUUGGUGUUUUGGGGUUUAGAAUGCACAUUCACCCAAAAAUCGUAGAGUGAAAUGUGCAUUAUAAGCCCAAUUCAAGCAUAGGUGUUUUGGUUCCAUCUCAAUAGAAAGAGGACAACUAAGCUUGGGUUGCACUUUUAGUGUUCAUUCACCCACAAAUAAAGCGAAGUGUAAUAAGCCUAAAAUUCGCCUAAACAAAGCAAAACAGGUUAUUUUGUCUUCCAUCUACAUAAAAAGAAGAUGAUAACGCUCCAGUUGGGCUUACUUCAAAUUGGUGUUUUUGGGGUUAGAAUGCACAUUCAACCAAAAAUCGCAGAGUGAAACGUUUUUCAGCCCAAAUCAAGCAUAGGUGUUUUGGUUCCAUCUCAAUAGAAGGAGGACGAAUAAGCUUGGAUUGCACUUUCGGUGUUCAUUCACCCACAAAUAACAAAUCAACGUGUAAUAAGCCUAAACAAAGCUAAACAGGUUGUUUUGAGUUCCAUCUACACAGAAAGAGGCAUCUUGGAUUUCGCUUAUUUCAAAGUCGUGUUCUUUGGUUUUAAUGCACAUUGACCCAGAAAUCGCAAAGUGUAUGUAAUGAGACCAAAAUAACGAAACACCAUAUUUCCCCUUCCAUAUGCGUAGAAAGAAGAAUAAUAAGCUUUGAUUGGGCUUAUUUCAAUACACAGGGUGUUUUUUGGGUGUGCACCAGAAUCAACCUCAACCAAAGAAAAAGGUCUCUUGGCUUCCAUCUACAUAAAAAGAAGAUGAUAACGCUCUGAUUUGGUUUAUUUCAAAUUGGUGUUUUUGGGGUUAGAAUGCACAUUCACCCAAAAAUCGCAGAGGGAAAUUUGUUAUCAGCACAAGUCAAGGAUAGGUGUUUUGAAUCGAUCUCUAUAGAAAGAGGAGGAAUAAGCUUGGAUUGCUCUUUCGGUGUUCAUUCACCCACAAAUAUCAAAGCGACGUGUCAUAAGCCUAAACAAAUUAAAACAGGUUAUUUUGGGUUCCAUCUACAUAGAAAGAAGAAUCUUGGAUGUCGCUUAUUUCAAAGUCGUGUUCUUUGGUGUUAAUGCACAUUUACCCACAAAUCGUAAAGUGUAUGUAAUGAGACCAAAAUAACAAAACACCAUCUUUCCGCUUCCAUAGCGUAGAAAGAAGAAGAAUAAGCUUCGAUUGGGCUUAUUUCAAUUCGCAUGGUGUUUUCUGGUGUGCACCAGAAUCACCCCAACCCAAGCAAAAAGGUGUUUUGGCUUCCAUCUACAUAAAAAGAAGAUAAUAACGCUCUGAUUGGGCUCAUUUCAAAUUGGUGUUUUUGGGUUUAGAAUGCACAUUCACCCAAAAAUCGAAAAGUGAAAUGUGCGUUAUAAGCCCAAUUCAAGCAUAGGUGUUUUGGUUCCAUCUCAAUAGAAGGAGGACGAAUAAGCUUGGAUUGCACUUUCGGUGUUCAUUCACCCACAAAUAACAGAGCGAAGUGUAAUAAGCCUAAACAAAGCAAAACAGGUUAUUUUGGGUUCCAUCUACAUAGAAAGAAGAAUCUUGGAUUUCACUUAUUUCAAAGUCGUUUUCUUUGGUUUUCAUGCACAUUGACCCAGAAAUCGCAAAGUGUAUUUAAUGAGACCAAAAUAACAAAACACCAUCUUUCCGCUUCCAUAGUGUAGAAAGAAGAAGAAUAAGCUUCGAUUGGGCUUAUUUCAAUUCGCAUGGUGUUUUUUGGGUGUGCAGCAGAAUCACCCCAACCAAAGCAAAAAGGUGUUUUGGCUUCCAUCUACAUAAAAAGAAGAUGAUAACGCUCUGAUUGGGCUUAUUUCAAAUUGGUGUUUUUGGGUUUAGAAUGCACAUUCACCCAAAAAUCGAAAAGUGAAAUGUGCGUUAUAAGCCCAAUUCAAGCAUAGGUGUUUUGGUUCCAUCUCAAUAGAAGGAGGACCUUUUGCAUCGGAGUUCCAGUCCUUCGCAACCAGACAACAUGAGCUCUCGGGUCAUCGCAGCUGUCUGCUGUGGGGAGACCGCGUUGUGAUUCCCCAAAGACUCCGUCAACGCGUCCUUCAGGCUCUGCACGUUGGCCACCCAGGAAUUGUCAAAAUGAAGGUGUUGGCUCGGUGUUACGUCUUUUGGCCCAACAUGGACGAUGCCAUCACUGCCUGGGUUUCCACCUGUCAAGCGUGCCAAGUAUUGAGGCCACCGACAGCUAAGGGACACACCUGGGAGACGCCCAAGACACCCUGGUUGAGGGUGCACAUCGAUCUGGACAGCCCCUUUCGUGGCCGGACCUUUAUGGUAGUGGUGGACGCCUAUUCCAAAUGGCUGGAGGUGGCCCUGAUGCCCUCCAUCACUACCGAGGCCGUCAUCUGGGUGCUGCGAGGCCUCUUUGCAACGCAUAGGUGUCCUGAUGUCCUUGUCUCCGACAACGGACCACAGUUCACGUCAGGCACUUUUGAGCGGUACCUUUUGGGACUGGGCAUCCGCCAUGCCCUAACAGCACCAUUUCAUCCAUCCAGCAACGGGCAAGCGGAGAGAAUGGUGCGCUCGGCAAAAGAGGCACUGGGAUGCCUGGACCGGGGAGACUGGCACAAGCAGGUCGCCAAAUACUUGUUCGUGGAACACAUCACCCCUCAUGCGGCCACAGGGCGGAGUCCUGCCGAACUGCUUAUGGGCUGCCGCCUCAGGUCCCCGCUCGACCGGCUGCACCCGGACUUUGCCGUGGCUGAACCCCCAGGCUGUGCCAACGCACCACGGUCAUUUGUUCCAGGAAACCAGGUAUUUGCCCGGAACUUUGUGGGGGACAUUCCUUGGGUGCCAGCCACAGUAGUGGGAGUCACUGGACCUCGCUCGUACCAGGUGGCACUCGAAAAUGGAGGUUUGUGGCGCUGGCACAUAGACCAGCUUAGGCGCAGGGUUGGGGACUUGGACACUACCGUGGUGCCCCCAACUGUGCUCGUGGCUCCGGAACAGACACUUACAGAUGGUGAGGCUCCACCUACACCUCUCUCGCAAACUGCCGGCGUGGAGCCGAACCACUGCCAUCCCUGUCAUUCCGCCAACUCCACUUGCGGAUGUUCCACCCACAGCAGCGGAUCCAGGGGACUUGGUUUCAAUGCCACCUAGGGUCGUGCCACAGCCUCAGCAAGAAUCGGGCAGCCCACCGGACCUGGGUACCGCUCCCCGGCAGUCUGGCAGAGUUUCCAAGCGCUCAACUUAUUUAAAGGACUAUGUUGUUGGACAUGUAACACUGUUGGUCUAAGUAUGUGGAAGUAUGUGAAAUGUAACCGAUAUGCUUUUGUGCCUAAUUGAACCAUUACGUGUAGUGCUGUAUAUAAGGAAACCAUUACGAUUGUAACUAACGCCUUAUCUCGGUGGGGAGGGGUGUUAUGUACUGAAGUUCUCACCCUGGGCCAGCAGGGGGAUACUGUAGAUAGUUAUGCAAAUGAAGGAUCGAAAGUGACAUUCAGUGAUUGGAUAGUUUUAGAAAGUUGUUACAGUAUUCAGUUAUGUCCUGGCCUGUGAAUAAACAAGAGCUGUUUGAAGAA
rnacentral:lncRNA from 1 species